AAAUGAAAGCAGAAGCACCCGCUUCUCGCCUGAGUGAAUAAAUUGCUGGGCAGAAUAGGAUUCCGACUAAUUGAUUAGCUGGGGUACGCGCGGGUUCUUGUAGAAGAACUCGUUUUUUUAUUGCCAU
rfam:Enterococcus saccharolyticus ATCC 43076 genomic scaffold acpML-supercont1.2, whole genome shotgun sequence.